rfam:Candidate division WOR-1 bacterium RIFOXYC12_FTLL_54_18 RifOxyC12_full_WOR_1_54_18_curated_complete, whole genome shotgun sequence.
GCCGAGGUGGUGGAACUGGCAGACACGCUAGAUUUAGGUUCUAGUGGGUUAACACCCGUGCAGGUUCAACUCCUGUCCUCGGCA